rnacentral:rRNA from 1 species
GACAGAGGGGGCAAGCGUUGCUCGGAAUUACUGGGCGUAAAGGGCGCGUAGGCGGGAUGGCAAGUCGGUCGUGAAAUCCUUCGGCUCAACCGAAGAACGUCGAUCGAUACUGCUGUUCUUGAGGGUUGCAGAGGAGACUGGAAUUCCCGGUGUAGCGGUGGAAUGCGCAGAUAUCAGGAGGAACACCGGUGGCGAAGGCGGCGCUCUGGACCGAGACUGACGCUGAGGCGCGAAAGCGUGGGGAGCAAACAGG